rnacentral:lncRNA from 1 species
UCAAUUCUCUCUCUCCGUCAUUUUUCUCUCUCUUUCUCUUUCUCACACUCACCUGUCAACUCCGGCAACCCUUACUUUCGCCUACGAUCUUCCUCAAACCCGCCAGUUUAAUCAACGUCAGGCCCCCUUGACCUUUGGCGACCGGAGUUGCAGCAUCCCUCCGCCGGAAAAUCGAGCAUUAAUAGAUAUAGGACGCGUUGAACAGUUGCCAUCGCUUGUUCCAGUUGUUGCAGGUGUCGCCGGCGUGUGGGACUGCUGGAAACCGACUCCCCAACCUUGAUAAUGCCUGCCUAGAAAGUCUUGGCCGUCAAAAUCCUACACCGGCGUGUGGGACUGCUGGAAACCGACUCCCCAACCUUGAUAAUGCCUGCCUAGAAAGUCUUGGCCGUCAAAAUCGUCGUAGGAGAAAGAAGGCCGCGCGCUGCAGAUGAAACUUCAAGGGGCCGAUUCGCGGCGACGGCGAGGCUUCAGGCGGCAGAAGUUGUAUGGUUGGACUCCCUAACGUGUACUGGUUAGGCCUUUGUCCUUCAGACUGCAUUUGCAUAAACAACUCAAAAGCUUCAAUAUCAAAGUCAUUUACAGUACCCAGGUAUAAAAAUAAACCAUGUGAACGAACUCCUCAUAUUUACAGUACCCAGAAAACUCAUCUUUCUCGGGCAUUCUGCCGAAUGUGUGGCGUGCUUCAUCGAUUCGACCACUUUUUGACAAAUUAUUCAAUAGUUGGUUAGUUUUAAUUGCAGAAUAAGAAAAUCAUGUUUGGUAUUCGACCACAUUUUGCUGAAAUUUGAGUUGGCGAAAGUGUGACUCGGCAGUUUGUAGUAAUCACUUGCAUGCAUCAGUGCUGCCUUCUCUGAGCUAGUCAAAAGUCCAUUCUUGCUCGUGUUUGAGUUUUCAUUCUUAUUUCUGCUCAAACAAUGAGAAAUACAUAACAAUUUAGUUCUGUCAAUUGGCAUGCAGUGUGCAAUCUCAAUUAUUUUUUUGGAUUUAGGUUGUUUGGAUUAUGAGAAAGUUAGAGAAAAAAUGAAAGAGAAAUUGGGUGUGUUAAUUUUUAUGUUAAUAUUUUUUAAUUUUAUUAUUUAAUGUAAUUAAUAUAUUUCAGAUACUUAAACAGAAAUUGACAAAAAAAGUUUA